AAGUCGUAACAAGGUUUCCGUAGGUGAACCUGCGGAAGGAUCAUUAACACGUAUCCACGUAUCUACCUCUUGCGAACUUGUUAUUUGUUUGUAGUUGUGUCUUGUAUAACUGAGGAAGCAGAUUACCAUGUCGUUCUGACAGAAUGUUCUGCUUGCCUGUCCACCCGUUGUUGAGUGCUAGUGUAUCGAGUUUGAUCCAUUAUUUCGGUGAUGAGGUCAAUCCUAUUAGCCAUAGCUCCACUGGGAUUGGGUACAAGAUAUAGCUCGAAUCAUGGUGGUAUUCACCAUUAACCCUUUUUUUUAUAAAUUGUCUUAGUGAGCGUCCUGGUGUAACAACUGGGCCUCCCCAAAAUUUAACUAUUAUACAACUCUUAGCAACGGAUAUCUCGGUUCU
rnacentral:misc_RNA from 1 species